CCGGUAUGCUUAGGGUUGAAUCUUAUUAUUUAUGUUUAGUUAGGUUUUAAAAUAUUAUUGUUCAUGUUUAGUUAGGGUUUAAAAUCUUUAGUUCUAUAGUUAAUUAGGGUUGAAUCUUAUUGUUUAUGUUUAGUUAGGGUUUAAAUAUUGUUGCUUAUGUUUAGUUCUAUAGUUAGUUAGGGUUGAAUCUUGCUGGUUUUUUUAAAUUAGGGUUCCUGUUUAUGUUUAGUUAGGAUUUAAAUAUUGUUUUUUAUGUUUAGUUCUAGCUAUUUAGGGUUUAUAUUGGUGUUUAUGGUUAAGUAUUGAUGUUAUUGCUAUUUAUGUUUUAAUGAUACAUGGAUGUGAUCCCGACCAUCGUGUCGGUUGAUAUGACGAAUGUGGGCCCGGCCAUCAUGCCGGGUCGUUGAGAAGGGUCCGGCCAUUGUGCCGAGGGGGUAUAUGUGGGUGGGAGUUUUUUUUAUGCAGGUAUAACAUUUGGGUAGACUCAUUUGUUGUUUUACAGCAAUGGUCAUGCUGAAAUUUUCUUGUUUUACAGCAUAGGUCAUGCCGAAUUUUUCUGUUUUUUUAAAUUACUUUUAUAAGUGUUGGAUAGGAACCUCAGGCUCGCGUUGAAGAGGUGCCUGAGCAGCCACCGGUUGUGGAGGGAGAAGUAGAAGAAGAAGCGGGGGCAUCUUCCUCGGGCUCAAAAAUUGCCAGGAGCGAGGAGCAGC
rnacentral:lncRNA from 1 species